UCGAGGAUCAUUCGCAAUGGGCGAAAGCCUGACGAUGCGACGCUGUGUGAACGAUGAAGGCCUUCGGGUUGUAAAGUUCUUUCGCUUGGGAGCAAGGGAAUUGGCUGAAGAAGCCGAUGACUUGAGAGUACUAGGUAAAGAAGCACCGGCUAACUCCGUGCCAGCAGCUGCGGUAAUACGGAGGGUGCAAGCAUUAAUCGGAAUUAUUGGGCGUAAAGGGCGCGUAGGCGGGUAGAAAAGUUAGGUGUGAAAUUCCGUGACUCAAUUACGGAGCAGCAUCUAAAACUGACUAUCUAGAGGUAAGACGGAGAAAAUGGAAUUCCACGUGUAGCGGUGAAAUGCGUAGAUAUGUGGAAGAACACCUGUGGCGAAAGCGGUUUUCUAGUUUAGACCUGACGCUGAGGCGCGAGAGCAAGGGGAGCAAACAGGAUUAGAUACCCGGGUAGUCC
rnacentral:rRNA from 1 species